CCUUCUGUUCCCUCUUCCUCAGGUUGAGUUUGAAAUUAAAGAAUCAUUAGCCGAACUCAAAUCCAAAAUCCCUUCUCCAAACCCUCUAAUGAGGACAUGCAGGUCAUAAUUUAAAAUAGCUGAGGGUAUUUUGUUCUAUAAAAAUACCUACCCAUCAACGACCAUCUUGCCUGUUUCUAUAAACGCAUGGUAUAACCGAAAUUUGCUCUAAAGUUAAUUUUGCACAACAAAAAAGAAAAAAAGUCAUCAAUGGCAGAGCUAGAGAGCCCAAACGUGAUGCCAAAGCUCAUCACAUUUCUCUCUUCUCUGCUUCAAAGGGUAGCUGAAUCCAACGAUCUCAACUGCCAAUUUCAGCCCCAGAAAUAUUCAGUCUUUCAUGGACUCACUAGACCUCCUAUUUCGAUUCAAAGUUAUCUAGAGAGGAUCUUCAAGUAUGCGAAUUGUAGCCCAUCUUGCUUCGUCGUUGCAUACGUUUAUCUCGAUAGGUUUGCUCAAAGGCAACCCUCUUUGCCUCUCAAUUCUUUCAAUGUUCAUCGUUUGCUUAUAACAAGCGUCAUGGUUGCCGCCAAGUUCAUGGAUGACAAGUAAGUAGUUUAAUGCCUAGUUUGUUCAGCGAUUAUGGGAAUGAAUUUCACAAUCCUGCAUCUUUUUAUCUUGGGAAUUUGAAAUUCUUGAAUUCGCGCUAUAUAUAUGUCUGUGCUAGGAAACUUGUGAUUCUUUGAACCUGAUAUCCUGGAUUUGCACAUUUCUUUUGGUUUGUUCCACAAGGUCCGAUUUUGCAUUGGCUUAUAUUUACUCAAUUGGAAUAAAAAAAUGACCUUCCUCUGUUUCUUAUUACAUGCAUCUUCUGUGUCUUUGUACUAUCUUCAAUUGGGAGGAAAGAAAUUUGAAUCUCAGAUUUGCACCAGAUGAAAGACUUGUUCUUGUGAAGUUCUGCUAGAGGCACUUUUAAUUCUAUUAGAAUUAUAUUAAAACUUGUACCCUCUUCAAGUAGCCAUGUGAAACCUUUCCUUUUAAGCUAGCCAGUUGUAGAUGGAUGACAUUUCAGUUUCACCAAAUUUAUGAAAAGGCCUCAUAAGGAUAAGGUUGGCUCGGUGGGGAAUUAGCUAGUGGUGAGAGAUUAGUAAAUUCAUCUUUGAUAAUGAUUAUUUUUUCAGGUAUUACAACAAUGCUUACUAUGCAAAAGUUGGAGGAAUCAGCACAAUAGAGAUGAACUAUCUUGAAGUGGAUUUUCUAUUUGGAUUGGGAUUCCACCUAAAUGUGACCCCUGACACCUUCCACACAUUCUGUUCCUACCUCCAAAGGGAGAUGAUACUUCAACCUCCAAGCUUAGCUGAAUCUUCGCUGAAGUUAGGGAGAUCUCUAAAGCUCCACUUGUGUUUCAAUGAGGAUGAGACAUCCCAUCAAAAGCAGCAACUCGCUGCUUAACCCUUUUCAUUGUAAACACUAAAUGUAGUUAGUUAUAGAGAUGGCGACUCUCCUCAAGUCUCCUUUUUCAUUUUCUUGUGUUGGGAUAGGCAGGGGCUCUGAAUUUUUUUUUUUUUUUUUCCUAAUUCUCUUGUGUGGCUUUUGGAUUAUUCAAAUGAUUUGGUAAUGUACAGAUGACAGUCUGGCUACCAAAAUGUCUCUCUCCUACUCCUAUGUCAUCAGCCUAUAAAUUUGGGUUGACACAGUUAUUGCAGCUUUUGGGUUCUCUUCUUUUUUUUUGGUUGCCACUGAAAUAAGGGACUUUGCAAAUGGCAAAAUGUGGGGUAAGGGCAGUGGACAAAAGAAUAAUGUACAGAGAAUUAGUACCCUUUUGUUUAUGCCAAGUAAUGACAAUUUCUUCUAUUUGACAGUUGUAAUGAUUCUUU
rnacentral:misc_RNA from 1 species